rnacentral:misc_RNA from 1 species
GGAUAAGCUUAUGUCAUUUAGCGGUAGAUUGAUUGCCACAAGGCCAGUUAAUAAGAUGUUGAAGGUGUGAAUGCUUUGUAGAAAUGUUGAGAGGUAUAUCCUAGCUUUAGUCAAGCAAAUUGAAGAUAAUCUGCAAAUUUGUGGUAUCAGUAUAAUUAUGAGUGGAAGGAAGGAAUGGCGAAAGCUGUUCCUAUAUUCAUGGCCUCAUUUUGGUUUUGAACAAGGAGAAGGAAG